UUUUCUUUUGAGCCAUCAGGACAAACAACUCUGAUACCAAUUUGAUAGGAUUCUAUCUGGAAAAAUAUAGCUGAACAUUGAUUGAAGCUGAAAAGCAAUACUGUAAAAGAAAGAUAAUAGAUGCCUAUGGGAGGUUGUGACUCUCAAACUCACUCCUCUUUCACUCUCUAAAAUUGCAUUUCUAAUAUGCCCCUUGGCAACUUUAUUUAUAGCCUUCUAGCAAUUGACUUUUCUAACUAAUUUCCCUCUAUCAGAUUUCUGUUUUCUUUAGCUCCCAUCUGGUAAUGCAUCCUUCUUUGCCCUUCUAGAAUGAGUAAACCGGAUGGUGGGCUUAUCAAAACUUUCUAUUAAGAUGUGAAUUAAAUACAGCCUCUUGUUUCAGGUGUUGCCAGAAAUUCUUUUUACACCACACUAGGUUGUGAAUUAUGAUUUCCUAGUGCUUUUCUGAAGCUAAUGAUCCUACUUUUUGUUUAUUCUCCUUGUAGGAAUUGAUUACUUAUCUGUUGCUGCUUUUGAUGAUCUCAUUCCUUCUCAUCUUAUGUUCCUAGAAGGCAGAGAAACCAUCCUGGUUGAGGGACUGAAACUUGAUGAUGCUCAGCCAGGGAUAUACUCCGUGCACUGCUUACCUCUGAGGUUGCUUGGGGCUGAAGGAUCACCCAUCAGAUGCAUCCUUAUUAAGUGAUGUCUCCCUUCUUGUUAUUGAAAAGAUGAAGACAUUUAGAUAUCUGGCGUUCUGCGUCAAGUUCGAGUGCUGAGCUCCUGAACUCUUUUCUAUCUUGUACAGCGCUGAGUUCCAGAACCCAUUUCUAUCUUAUACCGAUUUUCGUUUUUUCAUAAUAUCUUUCGCAGAAUUACCUUUUUUUUUUAUUGAAAGCGAUCAUGCAGAUAUUUAGUGAACUGAUAUUUAUGACAGUUGCACUGCCUUUUCUAUCUUCUCUUUUUAGUUCUAGCUACGUUAGUUGUAAUUAUUAGCUGCAAUUCAACUUCUUUUAUGGGGACGGAUACCAUUGGGUGAAUAUUUUAGAUUUCAUAUAAUUAGUGAGUGAAAUUACGAGUA